rnacentral:rRNA from 1 species
UGGGGAAUUUUGGACAAUGGGCGAAAGCCUGAUCCAGCAAUGCCGCGUGUGUGAAGAAGGCCUUCGGGUUGUAAAGCACUUUUGUCCGGAAAGAAAUCCUUGGCUCUAAUACAGUCGGGGGAUGACGGUACCGGAAGAAUAAGCACCGGCUAACUACGUGCCAGCAGCCGCGGUAAUACGUAGGGUGCAAGCGUUAAUCGGAAUUACUGGGCGUAAAGCGUGCGCAGGCGGUUUGCUAAGACCGAUGUGAAAUCCCCGGGCUCAACCUGGGAACUGCAUUGGUGACUGGCAGGCUAGAGUAUGGCAGAGGGGGUGAGAAUUCCACGUGUAGCAGUGAAAUGCGUAGAGAUGUGGAGGAAUACCGAUGGCGAAGGCAGCCCCUCGGCAGUCAACUGACGCUCAUGCACGAAAAGCGUGGGGAGCAAACAGGAUUAGAUACCCUGGUAGUCCACGCCCUAAACGAUGUCAACUAGUUGUUGGGGAUUCAUUUCCUUAGUAACGUAGCUAACGCGUGAAGUUGACCGCCUGGGGAGUACGGUCGCAAGAUUAAAAACUCAAAUGAAUUGACGGGGUCAUAGCUGUUUCCU